rnacentral:rRNA from 1 species
AGAGUUUGAUCCUGGCUCAGGACGAACGCUGGCGGCGCGCUUAACACAUGCAAGUCGAGCGAGAACCUGGGCUUCGGCCCAGGGGACAGCGGCGAACGGGUGAGUAACACGUGGGUAAUCAACCCCCGACACCGGGAUAGCCCGGGGAAACCCGGAUUAAUACCGGAUGCUCCGUCCGGCCUUCGGGCCGGCCGGAAAAGGUAGCUUCGGCCUCCGGUCGGGGACGAGCCCGCGGCGGAUUAGCUUGUUGGCGGGGUAACGGCCCACCAAGGCGACGAUCCGUAGCUGGUCUGAGAGGACGAUCAGCCACACUGGGACUGAGACACGGCCCAGACUCCUACGGGAGGCAGCAGUGGGGAAUCUUGCGCAAUGGGCGAAAGCCUGACGCAGCGACGCCGCGUGAGGGAAGAAGGCCUUAGGGUUGUAAACCUCUUUCAGGAGGGACGAAGCCACUCGGGUUAACAGCCCAGAGGGUGACGGUACCUCCAGAAGAAGCCCCGGCUAACUACGUGCCAGCAGCCGCGGUAAUACGUAGGGGGCGAGCGUUGUCCGGAUUUAUUGGGCGUAAAGAGCGUGUAGGCGGCCAGGCAGGUCUGCUGUGAAAACUCGAGGCUCAACCUCGAGAUGUCGGUGGAAACCGUCUGGCUAGAGUCCGGAAGAGGAGAGUGGAAUUCCCGGUGUAGCGGUGAAAUGCGCAGAUAUCGGGAAGAACACCCGUGGCGAAGGCGGCUCUCUGGGACGGUACUGACGCUGAGACGCGAAAGCGUGGGGAGCGAACAGGAUUAGAUACCCUGGUAGUCCACGCCGUAAACGAUGAUCACUCGCUGUUGGCGAUACACUGUCAGCGGCUAAGCAAAAGCAUUAAGUGAUCCACCUGGGGAGUACGGCCGCAAGGCUGAAACUCAAAGGAAUUGACGGGGGCCCGCAC